AGUAGGAAAACCUCAACAAAACGAAGGGUUUGGCUCCGGCGCUCUGCGCCGCCCUUUCUCCCCUCGCCCACUCUGUAGUGAGGCGCGACCGUUAUGGGCACACUGACCACGUCCCUCAGUGCCACAUCUCCACAGUUCUUCAACACCUGUAGGGACGGUGGCCCCACCACCCGGACAGCCCGUGCCAACGCCUCCCCCUUUCUUCUAAAAGACUUUUUUUCCCAACAUCCAGCCUGAGAUUUUCGCCAGGCAAUUGUGGGAAGAACAUUGUAAUCUAUCUCUGAGUUCUUUGUUACUGGCAGCAGACAUACACAGUUUCCCCUUGCGAAUUUCGCUUUCCAUCUGGACGCUUUCCCCGUGAAAGGGAAGGAACAGCUAACAGUCACAUGUAACUGCUCCCACUCUUGAGAAACCCUUGGCUCUGGCCUAAGCUCAGAGCUGCCACUAAGCUACAAAGUUGUUAUCUAUAAAGACGUCUGAAGGAAUGCCUUCAGUGCAAAAGACUUUCAAAUAAUAAUAAUAAAAAAUUAUCAAUCUAAUUUAUUGUUUUGGAACUCAGUUUGCAAAAACACCUAGCAACGCUAUGCGUGAUUAGAAUCUUCUAAGCUUUAAUGGUUCCCUGUGCUGUGCUUUUAUGGUCAGAUCUUGGACCUCUGACAUCAGUAUUUGUUAGCACUGACCUGUAUGAGCAAGAUCUGAUUUGCUCUGUUUUCCUCAUAGUUUGAAUUUUCCUCAUAGUUUUGUUUGGCUGGUUGGUCGGUUUGGUUUGGGUGGUUGUGUUCUAGUUUUAAAAAAAUGAUAAUAAAUCCAGGACUAAUGUUCAGUAUCAGUAAUUUGGCAUGCCUCUGAUUUCUCUGGAAUUGCUUGUUUACAAUGGGCUGAUCAACCAGCCCAAAGCUCUUACAUCCGAGCUGUGAUGCACUGAUCUGAAAUAUUCCUGAUGCAGAUGGCAGGAGCCUCUCGUAGUGAAAAAUGAACACCACUGAAUCACUUUGUAGACACAAGUUCAUAAAUGGCAUUCUUAAAAGUAAAUACAGAAUAUACCCAGUCUUGGAAGGACCAAAUUCUCACUUGUCUAAUUUCUAGCCCCUCUCUGAAAUGCUGAUAUUCUUGUUAUUCAGAAGUUUUCAUUUUGUUGCCUCCUUUGAAACACACUUUGAAACACUGGAGAUUUCUCCGGUGGCCUCAAUGAUCUAGAGCGAAUGACCUAAAUUCAGAAGAAAAACAAAAAGUUUAAAGGUUAGAAAUCAAGGUCUUUUUCUUGGAAAAUACUUUGGAGAGAGAGCGGUGAUUGGCUAAAAGAUCUGCAGUAGCAGGGAGUUGCUGCAUACAAGUUCAGUUUUGUUUCAGUGAGAACCAGCCCAUAAACCAUUGACAGAGAAUCAACGGUGCUUUGUAACUGAGGUGAAAAUGUCCAGAACUGCUUGCUUAUGUCAUCAGUAUCACAUAGGAACAGUUGAUAAUAAAAAUGAUACCACUGUCGCUGAAGUUUUCAUUUCCAUUGACAUGUAGAACGGAACUCACAGGAAAAAUCCCAGUACUUUUUAAGUCAAUCACAAAGUUUAAUAAGAAGAGUCUUAUGAAUUUCAUAUUACACGAGAGCAAGCUCUAAUUUGUUUCAAGAAGAAACUGUUGAGAUGUUAUUUGUGGCCAGCACCAAGAUGGGCUUAUGUUAGUAGCUAAAUGACAUCUUAAACAUUAAGUUUCAUUAGAAAUCAUCUUUUAAAUACAAGUAUUGAGCCUCUCUAUUGUAUGUCUUAUAAAGCCAAAUUAGACCAGGAAACUACAUCAACUUUCCACCUGUUCCAUCUCUCCAGAAGCAAAAAUUAUAGGAAAACUUCAGGCAAUUGCAAGCAGAGGAAGCUGCAGCUGAAAGCAAGGAGAUACAUGGAGCAUUCAGUUACAGCACCGAACAGCUUGGAACAGCAGCACACACACGUACUGGGGACAGAAGAAAUAACAGUGCACAAAGGCACCUUAAGAUGUUUUCCUCCUAUUUGCUUAGCUGGAACCAAUACAAUUUUAAAAUCAAAAAUACUGCCUUCCAGAGAGUAUUCCAAGAAUAGAAACCGAUGUACAGCGAAGAAAAUAGCUGCAUCCAAGCAGGAAGAUCUCCUAAGUGCCAAUUACUUCCUUCUUACAUCGGAUCACCAGCGUCAAUACCACUGACAUCACAUUCUACGUUUUCACCACAUCAAGGACAAAUGGAUCCAGAUGCAACUCACAGACCAACGCUGCAUAUUAAAUUCUGCUCAUCUUAUUAGCAAUGCCCUCAAAACCAGCCCCAAGGAAGCAUUCAGCAAACUUUUUUCUAUAGAUGUGGACACACACUAUUAAACAUCAUUAAGAGC
ensembl:lncRNA